CUGCUGCCUCCCGUAGGAGUUUGGGCCGUGUCUCAGUCCCAAUGUGGCCGUUCACCCUCUCAGGCCGGCUACUGAUCGUCGCUUUGGUAGGCCGUUACCCUGCCAACUGGCUAAUCAGACGCGGGUCCAUCUCACACCGAUAAAUCUUUUCCGUCAGUGCCAUGCGGCACCGGCGGGUUAUGCGGUAUUAGCGGUCGUUUCCAACUGUUAUCCCCCUGUGUGAGGCAGGUUACCCACGCGUUACUCACCCGUCCGCCACUAA
rnacentral:rRNA from 1 species